UAGAAUCAUUGAUGUCAUCAUUAGUGGACCACUGAACAGCACAAAGUACAAAACCACCACUGGGGAAUAUGUGAUCUACUGGACACCAACUGCAGAAAACUAUGGCCAACACUUUCCAUUUUGCUUCAUCGCAGAAGGACAAUACGGGUUUGAUAUUUUCCACUCUGAGAUGAGGUGCGUUGUUGCAAAGGCGAAUGCAGAAGGACCUGUGGCACAUGUAAUCUGUACUCAAAACUCAAUGUCAGUGACAGUUGAGAGAUCCUCCAUCAAAAACCUCCAUGGUGACUACUUGAGGCUGAUAAAUCCAUUUUGUCGGGUUUACACCAACCGUACCUACGUGUUCACCAACACACUUCUAAAUGAAUGUGGCACUCAGAUUGAGGAGAAGAAUAAUGAACUCAUCUUCAAGAAUAAAAUCAUUACAUUUGAUGAUCCCAGGGACAUUAUAACCAGAAAGAAUAAGCUAGAAAUUGAAAUCCUUUGCAAGUACCAGAAAAGAACCAACGUUACGCUGGAGUUUGAUACUCACAGACCACCAAUCAUCAUCUCAGAAAAUGGUUUUGGCACAUUCAACUAUCAGUUUGAGUUUUAUGUUUCUGAAAAUUUCCACACCAGCAGGGGUUCAGAAUCUUACCCGCUUGAGUACGAUGUGGGCGAUAAGAUCUACAUGAAGAUCGAGCCCGUCACUCCAGUCCUAAACACUGAGAUCUUCCUCGAGUCGUGUGUGGCUACACCUUACAAUAAUCCCAAUUACCCAAUCUCCUAUCCCAUCAUAAAGAAUGGAUGCAACGUGGAUGAAACGGUUCAGUUUUUCACAAGCCACCAACCAUAUGUCCAGUUUGAAUGGAGGCCUUCAAAUUCAUUGAGUUCCAUGACCAGGUGUUCAUCAGCUGCUCAAUCAUCAUAUUCCAGGCGAACAAUCCCAACACCCGCUGCUCUCAGGGCUGCGUCAACAGCACAGUCGCUCCACCGUCCCAUCACCAUCACAAAAGAGAGGCUCCCAUCCAGAGCGCCAGUCACUUCAUCUCCCAGGGGCCCCUGCGACUGAAGAGAAGUGCAUCACAGGUCACCGUAAGCCCGGGACUGAGUCUAAACCUUGUUGUCAUCGCUAUUUGUCUCGUGGCAACAGUUGCCAUGGUGUGUGGAGUGAUCGUCUACAGAGCCAGAGGGCAAAGGAUCAGAUACAAACCUGUGCCAUCGCACGAGUUUUAGUCAUGUCAGCUCGGUUUUUUAUUUUUCAAAGCAUAAUGCUUUAUUUUUCCUGUGAAAACAGAGAAUUAGCAAGACUAUUGGUGUGCUUUCAAAAAGCUGUGAUGGGAAUCUCUGGUCAAAGUGUGUUUUUCUUUCUUUUGUAAUCAUUUUCAGUAAUGUGAGUUUAAAACUAUUAACUAACAAUUAACUACGACUAUCUAUCUAUAUAUAUAUAUAUAUAUAUAUAUAUACAUAAACACAGUCAAGCCUAGAAAAAAAACAGUGAAGGACCCCUUUAACGCAGUUAACGCACUGGCCCUGCCCCCAGACGUGUACAUCAUCUUACAUUUCAUACAGUUGACUGUUGACAAAUAUGAUGUAGGGCAACAACUCCAUAAAUCCAGUUAUGCCCUAAAAUUCAAGAUAUGGGUGCAAAAAAUGUUUGUCUCAUAUUUAUAUCAUACAAUAUCGAUAUCACACGAGCAGGGAGAGCAGUAGGCUAUAACACAAGUGCUGUUUUUGACCCGGAUAUCAGAGUUUAAAUGCGAUUUUAUACAACAGCUCAGUAAGAAGUUGAUAUUCUGUUAUAUUUUAAACACAAUAUUAUGUGUUUUUGCUCAAUUUUACAAAUAAUAUAUUACCUUAAAGCCACAGCAGAAUUGUUGCGCGUCUCCGAGCAACACAGCAGCGUUUAGUUUCUGAAUGAAUCCGCAUUUUGAAUGAAUCGUCUU
ensembl:lncRNA